GCCAUGUAUAUCUAAAAAUCAUUUAUCUUGAUAGUGCAAGUGAGAUGAACAGGACAGUGAUGGAAAGUAGUAGGGACACAGCUGUUCUGAAUAAAACACCUUAAAAGAAUAUGCUAUAAUUAGAAAAUAUAUAAUGUGUUGCUUUAUUUUUAUUUUCUUUUAAAUUUUUUUUUUGACUAAACAGUUUGAAUUAUUACAGCUGAGAACAGAAAUUGGAAAUGUUUGGCUCUUGCUGCCUUGACAAUGGAAACUCUACUGUGUCUGAAGCAAGUUGCCAGAGAGGAGCCAGCGUGGCAUCUUUGUGAAGUACUGCAGUUGAAAGCUCUGCUGCCAUCAAAUUUUACGGCCCCAUCCUCUGAUCCCUGUCACUUUGGCAUGUGUCCUCACCUGGAAUCCCCUCCUGGCAAGAGUUUAUCAUCAUUUGCAGUAGGGCAGGACCAGGUAAUUGCAGAGCAAGCACCUCCUGCCUUCAUCUCCCUCUCCUGAUUUGAGUUUAGGAAAGAGAAUGUAUGGCAGCCACAUUAGGCAUGCCAAGCACAGUGCCUCCAGUGAGUAGGCUGGAGAACUGAAUCUUCAUUAGAAAUACCUUUUAAAGACCAUGGCAAAGGGGGGUGACCAGAGCACCAGCCCUUUCCAGCCUCAGCACAGCAGUGGCCAGCUGGAGAAUACUGGUGUUGCAUUGCUGUCUACAUGAGCAGGGAAUGUUAGAAAAGGGAUUUUUUUUAAAAAAAAGUGUGAAAUGCACCAGUACAUAAGUGUUAACUUACUUGAAAAACAUCAGCAUGAAUAGUUAGGAUUACAUUGCUUUGAGUACUGCUGAGGAAAGUGUUUGCCAUUUUUCUGUGUUAGUGAAAGCCACACAAUCCACUUUAUUCUUAUGUUCAUAUUAUUGCAGUUACAAUAGACAAUUUGCAAAUGCCUGGCUGCUUCAUAAAAGCUAAAGUACUUGGAUUCACAGCAGGUACUAAUUUUGUGUGCAUCUGCUGAGCUGUGCAUGGCAUCAACCUGUUUUUAAUUACACCUGCAUGUCAGGCUCAAAAUGCAUCUGUGAACAGGAAAGAUGAAAGGUAGGCAGAACAGGAUGUCAUGUAUUUCCCAUCACCUUUCACUGGCUGGCUGCCCACAGAAGUAAGAGGAAAUUCCCUUCUUUCAUAGUGAAAAUGUAAAGAUCUACUAAGGUUUGCACUGCCAACAGCAAGGUGUAAUCACUUCUUUAAGGAAGCGUGCAUGUGUUAACAGGGGUGAGCAUGGGAGCUCCAAAUAGCUUUCCACACCUUCCCUACCACUGAUCUGUAAAGGGCAAUAAGUAGCUCUUGCUUUGUUAUAUUUUAUUUGUGUUGAAAUGCGUAAGUUGG
rnacentral:lncRNA from 1 species